UGUGGCUUAAAUGGAGAAAGCGUCGGUCUACGAAACCGGAGAUUGUAGGUUCGAAUCCUGCCUCGU
rnacentral:ncRNA from 17 species